GAGAUGAAUAGAUCUUUGUUGGACGAAAAAUAGAUCCUCAACUUGUAAAGUGAUGUUUGUAUAUUGAGGUGUUUAAUCAGGUCCCAUUAUCUAUUGAUUAGAAAUAACACAAACAAAUCCUGAACAUUAUCAUAGUGCGAGAAUUCAAGUUUAGAUUUGUGAUUGGAUGAAGGCCAAGUGGAAAGUAUGCAGAUAUAUUGCACUGCAAGUCGAUGGGAAUCCCAAUAGGUUCGAGAUAUAAUGCCCGGCAGGUCAAGAUAUCCAGAGUUCAAGAUACAUAACAGGACUGGACUCCACUUAAAUGAAAAUAAUAGUGUAAUAAUAUAAACUCAAUUGGUCUUCAAGUUUUCGCACAAAGUUUUUAAGAGUUAUCAACAUCUUCAAAUGUUCGUGAAUUCGCGCUGCAAAUCGCCGAAAAAAUCGUUUGUGUAAACGGUCCUUGAGAGAGAGGAGAGGGGAAAGAUUCGGUGACUUUAAAAUAAACAUUUUCCAGAUCA